rnacentral:piRNA from 1 species
UGUUGAUGGAAAAUGCCGACCCCCACAC